rnacentral:lncRNA from 1 species
GACACGACACCUCCUGCCUCGCCACGUCGCCGCCUACCCCGUCAUCACUGCAACCACACAUUGCUCCGGCCGGGAUCCACCGCGCAGUCCAACCUUGUCCGUGCGUGCAGUCCUCCCUGUCUGCUCGCUUGACAGCAGAGGUGAGACCUCCCUCACUGCCCCCUCCUCCACCUCACGACCUCCUUGCAGACAAUUCACCGAGCGCUGGCAGUUCAAUUUGCUCUAGCAAUUCAAAUUUGUGUGCAUCACCGAGAUGAAUAUGUCUGUGUUUCGUUUAGUAUAUGUUGAGCAAAUUCAGUAUUAUUUUUUCAUUUCGCUCCAGCAAUCUUAGUAUUUGCAAUUUGACGUGUAUGUGUACAUUGUGAAAGUUAAGUAUUGUCUUGGUCCACAAUGACCAUGACGAGCUAAGUAAUUUUGUCCAAUCAUCUAUAUUGGUGCAUAUCUUGUGUUUGCUGAAAUGCCUCCACGAACAAGAAUACUAGUUCCAUUUGUUUCGAGUACGUGUGAUGUGGCCCUCUGUUUUUUUAUUCUUCCGGGAAAUUCUUGUAGUGUUCUACAUCUCCUUGUUCUCUUGUAAUGGGGCGUGCACUGGUUGUUCCAUGAAAAUAUUCUGUAGCUAGCUGCUAGUGCAACUACUCUCUCGCGUGUGUUGCUUCCUGUCCUUCCGGUGCCACUGUAACUACUCUCUCGCCUGUGUUAUUGUUCUACGUGAUGCCUUUGCUUUGUGUCCACGCCCGACUGGAUGAUGUUUGUCUAUCACUAGGUGCUAAUUCUCUAUCUAAUUGAUUCUGAUCCACAGCAAAAAGUGCUCCCAAAUCUGCAGAAAGAGCUCCUGACUUUUUAUGUCUGAAGUUCAGUUGUACCAUGGAGACGCCGUUCGAAACACUUGCAGGCGACGUGCUAACCAGCUGCAGGUCACAGUCUCCUUGAGUUGCAGGUCGCGCCCUUUACCCAUCAGCGUCGUCACCUGCGCCCUAGUUCAUAUUCUACGGCUGAAUAUUAUCGUAACAGUCUUCUUCAACCCAUUGUUUUUCCUCAAAAGGUUCAGAGUUCUAUUGGGUUAGAAGCCACAGGAGAGCAAUUAAAUUUGUGUUUGCUUUUCAGUAAAUAUUCUAGGGCUGAAUGUUAUGGUAACAGUCUUGUUUGAACCGUGGUUUUUCUUCAGAAGGUUCAGAGUUCUAUUGGGUUAGAAACAUGUACAGUUUGUCAGUUUGUUUCAGGUCGUUUAAAUCUGGAGUUCUGGACUCUCUGAUCUACCUGGUUGCUUCCGCUGGCCGUCGAAGCCUACCGAGGUGGUGCCCCACUGCUACCUCUGUCUCCCUGCACCCCUCCACACCACAAGGGCGACAGAGAUAUCAAAGUUGUUGUUGUUGCUCUUCUACCACAUCUUCAGGUUCGGAAAAGUUCAGCUUGGCACGGGAUGAAAGUUCAGCUGGUGGAGCCCUGGCAACAGCAACGUUUCGCUGUGCGGUGUAGGCUACGGCGGCAGCACCAUUUUAAUUUCUGCGUUUCUCCUACUGCCAACAGAGGAGAAGAACGGCCAGCACCGUGUUACUACUGCUACUGCUUGUUUUUGCAUGCACAGCCAAUUUGGGCGUUACCUGGAACAAGACAAAGCAAGAAAAUUAUGGAGUGAUAGAGAUAAAAGAGUAGUGUGCCUACGUGGUGUGGAUAUGAAACGUGUGGUGUGUGAGAGGACAAGAAAUGUGUGUUACUAUUCGGUGAUAAAAAUAACUUGUGAUUCAGAGAAAAAGCAACGUUCUAUUUACCUAGUGCUCAUGAUCAGCUAUAAAGCUUGCAUUUUUUAAC